rnacentral:rRNA from 1 species
AGUGAACGCUGGCGGUAGGCCUAACACAUGCAAGUCGAACGGCAGCACAGUAAGAGCUUGCUCUUACGGGUGGCGAGUGGCGGACGGGUGAGGAAUACAUCGGAAUCUACUUUUUCGUGGGGGAUAACGUAGGGAAACUUACGCUAAUACCGCAUACGACCUACGGGUGAAAGCAGGGGAUCUUCGGACCUUGCGCGAUUGAAUGAGCCGAUGUCGGAUUAGCUGGUUGGCGGGGUAAAGGCCCACCAAGGCGACGAUCCGUAGCUGGUCUGAGAGGAUGAUCAGCCACACUGGAACUGAGACACGGUCCAGACUCCUACGGGAGGCAGCAGUGGGGUAUAUUGGACAAUGGGCGCAAGCCUGAUCCAGCCAUACCGCGUGGGUGAAGAAGGCCUUCGGGUUGUAAAGCCCUUUUGUUGGGAAAGAAAAGCAGCAGGUUAAUACCCCGCUGUUCUGACGGUACCCAAAGAAUAAGCACCGGCUAACUUCGUG